GACCAAACUGUAGAUGAGAAAUACACCAAGCUGCAGUUAGUUACUUGUGUUAAUUAUGAGCCAAUAUAUAAAUAGAUAUAAGAGAAAAUAUGUACUUACAUUGGACAUGAUAUUGGCAAUGGCGGAGCCGAGGUACGCACAGAAAAAAGCUGCAGGGGAGAAGAGAGAUGACAUUUGUGUGAAUGCUGUAAUAGAUUUGAAAUAUCUGGUUGUUCCAGUGUUGCAUGUAAUUACAUAUGUUGUUAUCAUCAUGUCUGAAACAGAUGCACUCUCAGAUUUGUAUCUGCUGGGUGUCUACUCACCACAUGUGAUGGCGAGCAGGUGCACCUGCCAGAUCCCAGCACAGCAUGAGCACAUGUGAUAGGGGAGGAGAUGAAGAGGGAGAUGAUGAAGAUUCCUCCUGUCCAAGGAUUGUCACAGCCGUAGACCUGGCCAAUUCCAACGGGCACUGACAUGAACAGCUUGGGAGCGUACAGUAUCAGCCCUCAGAGAGAGAUCCUGGCCUGUCACUGACCUUGGCUACAUCGAUUUCAGCCCAGGUGAUGUUGGGAAGCUCUGACCGAGGCUCAAUGAGGACUUGGGGAAAGUGGUGGUUGAAGUGGCCGGUGGC